rnacentral:misc_RNA from 1 species
AAUUAAAAUAAACAGAUUACAAAAUAAACUUAAAACAGAAAUUAAAACUGCUGCUACUGAUUAAGCUCUGCUAUCAAGGCUUUGUUGCUGCAUCAGGGUCUGCUUCAGGUUCUGCAGUAGGUUCAUUGUGAUCCGAAGCUUCAGAAGCAGUUUCCAAGUUUUCUGUUAAGUCUUUCAUUUCUUGAAACAUGGCUUGGCCCCAAUGAUAUAAAUUGU